AGGACGAACGCUGGCGGCGUGCUUAACACAUGCAAGUCGAACGAGGCGCUUGCGCCUAGUGGCGAACGGGUGAGUAACACGUGAGCAACCUGCCCUUGGCUCUGGGAUAGCCUCCGGAAACGGGGAUUAAUACCGGACAUGACCUUCUCCUGCAUGGGGGAGGUGGAAAGUUUUUCGGCUAGGGCGGGCUCGCGGCCUAUCAGCUUGUUGGGGGUGACGGCCCACCAAGGCGACGACGGGUAGCCGGCCUGAGAGGGCGACCGGCCACACUGGGACUGAGACACGGCCCAGACUCCUACGGGAGGCAGCAGUGGGGAAUAUUGCGCAAUGGGCGGAAGCCUGACGCAGCGACGCCGCGUGCGGGAUGAAGGCCUUCGGGUUGUAAACCGCUUUCACCAGGGACGAAGCGAGAGUGACGGUACCUGGGGAAGAAGCGCCGGCUAACUACGUGCCAGCAGCCGUC
rnacentral:rRNA from 1 species